rnacentral:misc_RNA from 1 species
CCGAGUGCGGGCCUCCGUGCCCAACCUCCCAACCCUUUGUCGAUGAAUAUCUGUUGCCUCGGGGGGCGACCCGGACCCCGGGAGUCCCCCAGAGGUCCAUCAAACACUGCGUCUUUGCGUCGGAGUAUUGAAAUCAAUCAAUUA